CUGCGAUCCAGUGGUUCGCCGGCAAGGAGAGCAACAACUUGGGCAGCUGCUGUGUCCAGUGGGGCUCACGCAUAUUUAUGCUUAUGGCAACGUCUUUUGCUUAAGCCACGACUGGAGCGCUGAUUUGGCCGCCACACGCAGCUAACAAGCGAUGACCACCCGCCCAUACCACGCCACCCACACGUCGCCACCAAACAACGUCGUCAUGCCAUUUGGCAGUGGGUGGGUGGGCUCUCGGCCAGAACGAGCCACGUCAAUUUUAUGGAUCUCAUAGAUCAAAGUAAAGGUUAUUGUACAAGGCGUCUUGGACUGGAAAAAAAUACCUUAAAUUGCAGAUUCUCAGCCAACCUAAUCUGUACAUCAUUUGGAAUCAUUUGAAACCUUGCUGAAGUUUAUUAAAUUGAUUAAAAACGUCGACAACGUAAAUAAUAAAUAAAAAAAAAACAAAAUCGAUUUUGCAGCCAGCUGCUGCCGUUGCUGUUGAUCCUUGAUCCGUGUUGCGGCCGGACAUUGUCCUGGCCAAAAGGUAAUUCAAUUAAAAUGCAACAAAAAAUCGCCUGAGUGAAAACAAUUUCUUUCAUUGGCCACAUUUGCGGUGAACUGGCGAAGCCACCCGGAGCAGGCUGAUUUUCCCUGUCUUUCCCUGGACUUCGGGCUCCGGAAGUCGGGGGAACUGACAGAGCUGAAAGAGAUUUGUUUGCCCAAGUCAUCAACGGCACUGAAUAGGCCAAACAUGUGUAUGUACACAUGCUUGUGUAUACAAAUUUCGUAAUUAAAUUUUAAGUAAAUAUCAAUUCAAAACUGCAAA